GACGAACGCUGGCGGCGUGCUUAACACAUGCAAGUCGAACGGAGAACCUCUUCUGAGGGGAUCAGUUCCAAUCGGGUAAGUAACACGUAGACAAGCUUCACCCGGCUCUGGCUUUAGUAUAAGUACUUGGAACUAAUACUGAUUCUUCACAGCUUCUCCCACGGCAUGUGGUGGGUUGGAAUUCCUGCGGGGGAUGGGCUCGCGGCCUAGCAGCUUGUUGGUGGGGUAGUGGCGUACCAAGGCGACGACGGGUAGCCGGCCUGAGAGGGUGACCGGCCACACUGGGACUGAGACACGGCCCAGACUCCUACGGGAGGCAGCAGUGGGGAAUAUUGCGCAAUGGGCGGAAGCCUGACGCAGCGACGCCGCGUGGGGGAUGACGGCCUUCGGGUUGUAAACCUCUUUCAGCAGGGACGAAGCGCAAGUGACGGUACCUGCAGAAGAAGCACCGGCCAACUACGUG
rnacentral:rRNA from 1 species